rnacentral:rRNA from 1 species
AUGCCGUUUGGUCAGCUAUCCUUUGCAAGGGUAGGGGACGAAAAGUGGACCUGGCUGCCACCUCACACUGAUUAUUUUGACUGCACCUACAAGGAUGGGCUAUUGUAUGCAGUGACUCUAAUGGGAGAAAUUCACACCUUUGAUCUUAGUGGGCCUGCUGUUACAAUGAACACUAUCAUGGGUGUGGAUGAUGAUGACGAUUUUGGGAUUCAGGGAGCAUACAUUCUUCAAGCUCCAUGGGGUGGUUUGCUGCUUGUUUGGAGAUUGAAAGUGUAUAGUGGCAAUCCUGAUGAUAUUUCAGCACUUACACUGCACACCAAAGGAAUUAAAAUACAUGAGGUUGAUGUUGCUGCCAAGAAGCUUGUGGAAAUUGAUUGCCUGCACGGCCAUGUGCUGUUUCUUGGUCAUAACCAGUCACUCUGUCUCAGCACUAAAGAAUGCCCUGCUCUCAAGGAAAAUCGUGUCUACUUCACUGACGAUAAUGAGUACAUAACUGUACAUAAGGAUAAUCGUCGCGAUAUAGGAGUGCUUCGCUUGGAUAAUAAUAGCUGGGAAAGCCUUGUGUUUCCUCAGCUUUGGUCCAACUGGCCUGCUCCUGUGUGGAUUACACCCAAUCUUACAAUGAUGAAACUGUUGUUGAAUUAG